AAAGAUUAAGCCAUGCAUGUCUAAGUAUAAGCAAUUAUACAGCGAAACUGCGAAUGGCUCAUUAUAUAAGUUAUCGUUUAUUUGAUAGUACCUUACUACUUGGAUAACCGUGGUAAUUCUAGAGCUAAUACAUGCUAAAAAUCCCGACUUCGGAAGGGAUGUAUUUAUUAGAUUAAAAACCAAUGCCCUCCGGGGCUCACUGGUGAUUCAUGAUAACUCCUCGAAUCGCAUGGCCUUGCGCCGGCGAUGGUUCAUUCAAAUUUCUUCCCUAUCAACUUUCGAUGUUUGGGUAUUGGCCAAACAUGGUUG
rnacentral:rRNA from 1 species